UGUGUGAUUGUCUACAACUCUGCCC
rnacentral:piRNA from 1 species